UUUUUUUUUUUUUUUUUUGGUCCAUGAAAUAUCCAACCAGUGUAUCAUUAUUGUAAAAAAGAAUGAGAAUACACUGAAAAUUAAUGAAUUUCAUUAAACUAACAAUGAACCCUCAUCAUGUACUCUGUUGUGUUUUUCCAUAUCAAUCUUUAACAGAAAGAAGAUAGUGUUUCUAAAACCUCCUCACGGUAUACCCUCAUUUAUUUUAUAUGUUAAAAUAUAUAUUCAAAAUAAUGUUAAUCAUAUAAAUAUAGGUGAAAAUGUCUAAAAUUAGCAUUUUGAAUUGAUGAAAUUAUGAAUCUCUUGCCUAUUAGGUUUAGAUAAAAAAGCAAUUAUCCUCCAAUUAUCUCAUGUCAGGGUCUAAGUAUCCAUAUUCCUCAGUAUCAUUCUCAAGUUUCUAGUCCAUAAAUCUUUUAAAUUUUGCUUGAAAUCAGUAUCCACUGCUAGACCUUGGCAGCCCAGAGGUGGAAACUGUCUUAAAGAUACGUUUUCCUUGGCCAGCACACCCUUCUUCAUCACCUCAUCUUAUCUACAUGCCUCAGACAGAUGGAUACUCUGCGGUUCCCUCUUCCUCAAUUACCUACUACUAUCUUACUCCAGGAUACUUUGGGCAGUUAGAAGGGAAGAGCUUAAUGCUGACAAUAAAGACUUCUUGGCUUUAUAGCCUUGCUCCAGCACUUGUUAGCUGUUUCACUUUUCAGUGCUUCAGUUUCUCCAUCUAUAAAAUUAAUAGUCCUGGCUUCAAUUUCAUGUAGCAUUGUUUAAAAAUACCUCAAACCUUAUCUGGCAUAUAAAAAUGCUCAAGAAAUGUUAGCCAUUAUUGUUGUCUGCUUCUUGAAAUUUACAUUUAUAACCCCUCCUACAAUGGACUCUCCUGAGAGGAACAUGAUUUAGAACAGUUAAUACUCAAAAAUGCUAAACAUUUUUUAUGGUGUGGUUCCUAAAAGGAUUUGAGUUGUAAUUGCUGCUGAAGUUGACUGCCUCUAAAGAACUAAGUACAACUUUUAAACUAGCUAUGAUCUCAAACUCUGGGGUCUCUUAGAUUGUGUUAUUCUCCUUUUCUUUCCUUUUUUUCCCAUUUGCAACUGAGCCAUGGUCUAAAAAUCACAAUAGGAUCAGAAAGAACUACAUGAAAACUGAGUGUUACAAUCAUACAAAACUUGUAAAGGAACAUAUUUAAUAGUAUGGAUACAAAUUCAGUGUUGCACAUGUCAUAACUAUAAAUACUUCAUAUUUCUAACUAAAAUUAGUAUUUUAUACUUUGCUUCCAGGAGUAAAAGAAAGAACCACUAAACAUCAUUAAUUUUGUAGAACUAGUGGUAUUAGCAUGGGCUUUGGUGUCUAAUGCAUACUAUUUGAAUUAUGGCUCUGACAGUUCCAGCUAGGUGAUCUUAGGUAGAUUACUUAAUAUCUCAGCCUCAGUUUUGUUAUCUGGAAAAUGGAAUUUUUUAAAAAAAUUGCAGUAGAGUUGAUUGACAGUGUUGUGAUAAUUUCUGUGGUAAAGCAAAGUGAUUCAUGUAUAUAUAUAUACACACACACACAUUAUUUUUAUAUUCUUCAUUAUGACUUCAUCUCAGGAUAUUGAAUAUAGUUCCCUGUGCCAUACAGUAGGACCUCAUCGUAUAUCCAUUCUAUAUGUAAUAGUUUGCAUCUGCUAAUCCCAAACUCCCAAUCCAUCCCUUUAUCACCUCCCUCCCCCUUGGCAACCACAAGUCUGUUCUUUAUAUCUGUGAGUCCAUUUCUGUUUCAAAGAUAAGUCCAUUUGUGUCAUAUCUUAGAUUCCACAUAUAAGUGGUAUCAUAUUUGUCUUUCUUCCUGACUUAGUGUGAUCAUCUCUAAUUCCAUCGAUGUAGCUGCAAAUGGCAUUAUUACAUUCUUUUUAUGGCUGAGUAGUAUUCCCUUCUAUUGUAUACAUGUACCACAUCUUUAUUCAUCUGUUGAUGGACAUUUGGAUUAUUGAUACCUACUUCUUGGGGCUGAAGUUAGAGUAAAAUUGGGGUUAAAAAUUCCUAGCCCAGGGAGUUCCCAUCAUGGUGCACCGGAAACAAAUCUGACUAGAACUGUGAGGUUGCAAGUUCAAUCCCUGGCCUCACUCAGUGGGUUAAUGAUCCAGCAUUGCCAUAAGCAGUGGUGUAGGUUGCAGAUGCGGCUCAGAUCUGGCCUUUCUGUGGCUCUGGUGUAGGCCGGCAGCAACAGCUUCGAUUGGACCCCUGGCCUGGGAACCUCCAUAUUCUGCCAGUGCGGCCCUACAAAAAAAAAUUCCUAGCCCGUAUUAAUACACAUUCACUUCUUAUUCUCAUGUAUAGCCACCACUUACUCCCUUGCAGAAGUGCUCACAGAGCCCCAGGAGCAAACACAGUGCCUCAGGACAAUCAGACCUCUCUGUGGAAGUAAUGAAAAUGUUUAUUGCAUGUGACCAAGAAGAAUUCUUAGGGAUUAUUUUACUGAGGAGUGUGAAAGCAAAAUGCGGUACCCCAACAUAUGCUACUUUGCAAUAAAGGUUAUUUUGAGCUAAAGGCAAUUGAGAAGAAGCAGAUACAAGACAAGCCUUCUGCCCUUCCCCAACGUAUCUAGGACAUAAGUUUGCAAAGGUGUCCCUAUCUUCCCCUUUCUACCUGGGUAAAGACAGUAGUUAAUACUAGAAACAACACUAGGCAUUUACCAGCCCAGACACUAACAAUAACAAAUCUUGCUAAAACCAGCCCCUAUCUACCAUUAAUUCUUAUGGCUCCCAUCAAGUGCCAGAUGGUAAAGUCCUUAGACUCUUGCUUUGUAUUAUUAUUAUUAUUUUUUUUUUUUGUCUUUUUGCUAUUUCUUGGGCCGCUCCUGCGGCAUAUGGAGGCCAAUAAAUGGCAAAAAGACAAAAAAACAAACAAAAACCAAAAGAUAACACAAGAUAAGAUUACUGAGAACCACAUAAAUAAAAGGUGAGUGAUUUGACAGUAUGAAGAGUACUACUGGUUGGGACAUUCAUCUUGGGAAAAAUACAUGCACAUGUUGGACUCUGAUGGCGGGGGCUUUUGCAAAGGACGAAGUCAGGAAAGGACAUGGGAAGUGGGUGUAAAGAGCACAGCGAAGUUAAGAAGGUGGGUAAUUAUGGUAUCUGAUAGAUUUGGCAGGAGUGACAGGACUGAAGGGAAAGCUGGAAAGUUAGGUUUGUACUGGAGAGAGGGGUUUUCUCCUAAGGAUUUGGACUUGAUGGUGAGCAGAAGGAGAUGUCAAAGAGUUUCCUGGUGGUUUAUCAGGUUAAGGAUUCGGCAUCAUCACUACUGUGACAUGGGUUCUGUCCCCAGUCCAGGAACUUCCUUCCACGUGCUACAAACAAAGCCAAAAAAAUAGUGUUUGGGGCCAAGGACUACCAUGAUUAUCUCUGAAGUUCAAAUAUGUCAACAAACACUAUUUUACUUUUCAGAUUUUAUUGAGAAAAAUUCAAUCUUUUCCAUUCCUGAAACAGCUGUAUUUUCUCUAUCACAUUUAGACCUUACUGAUUUGAAACGAUCUGCAAUGUGUUCUUUAUUCUAUUUUAUUCUCUCACCGAAUAGCUAUUUAUUAUGUUUCUGUUGUUGUUAUUAACCUUGGCAGGGAGCAUUUAUCUAAAACACCUUCAGAAUAGAAAUUAUUCAGAUUAGCAAUAAUUUGAAUCCUGGAAUCUGGGUAAUGUAUUUGUGUUCAUUAAAAAAACAUUUCAUACCUUCAUUUUAACCAGCUCAUAUCCAUCAAUCAAACUCAAGAAUACUCACAUUCUGAAAUAUCUGAAAUUACAAAUGUUAAUAUUUAUGUAGAUUAUUCUGCUGUUAUUUUUCUCACGGUGAUCAUUCUGGCUGAGCCUACCCUAUAAAUAGGUGAUUGUCUUGUGUAAAAAUACCUAACCACAUUUAUGUUCUUUAAAGAUUGCUUGACCACUGUCUCAUGAAUAACAGUCCUUGAUAUAGAUACAAGCAAUAGAUUGGAGGCUUAGGGAAUUGAAUUUUCCUCAUAUAUCUAUUAGGAGAAAUAUAGUCACAGAUUCUCUUCAUGAUUAAAAUGUACCCUCAAGUAUACAAGGCUUGAAUGCUGUUUGGUGAAUAGGUUACUCUCAGCCAGCUACCCAGGGGUGACAAAGAAGGAACUACUAUUACAUAGUUGGUUUGGCAGACAAAGAGCCACCCUCUUUUAAAACUCUUUAAAGCCCUCUAGCCCAUAACCUGCAAGGGAUGCUGCAUUGCAACACAAUUUUCAGGAAUCCUUCCAAACUUCAGCCAUUCUAGCAAUGUGUCUAUCUCAUAGGAACAUCUUCCUUCUAGCCUUGUCUUCAGAAGGAAGAGCAAAGCCAGAGGGAUUUG
rnacentral:lncRNA from 1 species